rnacentral:rRNA from 1 species
GUAGGGUCCAAGCGUUAAUCGGAAUUACUGGGCGGAAAGCGUGCGCAGGCGGUUGUGCAAGACCGAUGUGAAAUCCCCGGGGCUUAACCUGGGAAUUGCAUUGGUGACUGCACGGCUAGAGUGUGUCAGAGGGGGGUAGAAUUCCACGUGUAGCAGUGAAAUGCGUAGAGAUGUGGAGGAAUACCGAUGGCGAAGGCAGCCCCCUGGGAUAACACUGACGCUCAUGCACGAAAGCGUGGGGAGCAAACAGGAUUAGAUACCCUGGUAGUCCACGCCCUAAACGAUGUCAACUAGUUGUUGGGGAUUCAUUUCCUUAGUAACGUAGCUAACGCGUGAAGUUGACCGCCUGGGGAGUACGGUCGCAAAGAUUA